ACCAGCUGAUGGCGCCACUUCCUUCGCUUCUAGUGUAAGGCCCCUCGGAGUCAGUGUCACUCCAGCCACCUGCAGUCCCCAGCCCGGGCUGGGGCGGAAACGCAGGGCAGCAGAAUGAGCGCGGGUUUUGAAAUCCAGCUGUGAUUUGGACCAGCUGUGGGCAGAUUACUUAAUAGCUCUGUAUCCUUCUUGGGAGUAAUAAUACCCACCUUAUGCAGUUCUUGUGAGAAUCAAAAUGAGUCCAAGCAUGUGAAAUAUUUAAUGCCUGGCAUUUGAGAAAUGUUCAAUAGUAGUUUCUAUUCCAAACUCGCCCAUCCUCAGCCCACAGUCAGGGUGGCUGUUCCCCAUUGUAACCCUCUUGAGUGCAUUACUGAUAUGCUCUAGGGUAUGCUUGAGAGAGGAUAUGGGAAUUUUCCUUCCACUCUUCACCUAGGUUUUUACAUAUGAUCCUUAUUUGUGGAGUGGUAGCAGUAAAUCCUUGAGGGCAUGCAUGCCCACGGUUCCGCUCCAUGUUUAUUAAAGACCUACUAUGUGCAGACACUGCUGGGGACAGAAAAAUGAAUAUGACAUAGCCCUGCCCUCAAGAACCUUAUAGUCCAGCUGAAGAGAUAGACAUACAAAUAAGCAAUUUAAAUAUUAGGCGUUAAAUGCUGUGAUGAUGGUGUGUACAGAAUGCUAAGACAGCACAGAGGAAGGACAAUGAGCAUAAUCUUGGAGCUGAAGAUAAUGUCCCCAGGAGGGUACGGUCUGAGAUGAGUCUUAAAGGAGCCAGGAGAAGUUAGCCAAGGUGGUGACCUUGGACUUAUCCAAUGAACUAAGCUGGAACCGCAUUUCCCAGAAUUCCCUUCCCUGUGUGGCUCUGGGCUCAGACUGACCCCAUGAGAAAUGUGCACGAGGUCUGGAGGGUAGAAGGAAGGCAGCAGCUGUGUAGAUGUUCCUUGUGUCAAUGUGGAGCCGGGUAGCUCACGCUUGUUUUUGCAGAUCCACAGACUUCCCUUGUUGAGGUGAGGCAGCGCCUUCGACGUCUCUGACUCCUAGGCCAGGUGUGUGUCUAGCUCCGUGAUGGAAGGUGCCAGCUUCCCUUGUAAGUGACCAGCAUGGGCUCUGCUUCACCCUUCCGGGCUCCCAGCUUACCCAGACCUUAGCAGUCUGCUGACUCCAGCUUUCAGCAGAGCAGAAACAACGCCUUGGGAAGACUUAAAACAACUUUGAAUAAGAACCUGCUUGAGAAAGAUUUGCCUUACAAGCUAAAUGUUACAUUUCCACUCAACAGAAAGGUACUGCUGUGUGGCCGUAAAAAGCUGGCCAAAACCCUGUAACCUUUGCAGUUAGUCAUGUUAUUUUUGGUUCAUGCCAACAUGGAUCACAGCUGUGACUCAACAGAGCCACUGAAGCAAGAAUUCAAAGAGUUUAAAGAACAGCAAACUCAGAAAUGACUUUUUUUUUCUUAUGGUGUCAUUACGCAACAUUUCUUGUCGUUUACCUUUUCUAAUUUACCAACUCCAUACAGAUGAGCUCAGUCGUUGUUUGGCAAUUGAAAAUCUGAGUUGCGUCAGCACACUUCCCCAAAUCCCACUGCAGGCGGAGGAUGAUGAAGCUUUCCUUUCUGGGGUGUUUGUUUUACGUAAGUAGUGACUUACUUUUCAGAGGUAAAAAAAAAAAAAAAAUCUGUGUUGAUAUAUGUCUCCCUCAAACCAAAAAUAGGACUGGGGAUUGAUUUAAACGUUUGCAGUUCCCCAUUUGAAGAUGACAGAAAGCCCAUAUCGACUGGUUCUGCCUUUGUUUUUGUUUUUCACUAAUUUAUAUUCACAAAAUGAAGCCAUAAGCUUAGACCUCACCGAAUGGAAAACAGGCAUGGACUUCAGCAGGCAAUAUAUUAGCAUAUUUAUCAACAUCCUUUAGAUUUUUGCUUUCAUUUUUUAAAUUACCAUGUAAACUUGAAGAUAACCCCAGUUUUCCCAUUUGUGGGAACAUAAGAAAGGGAGAUGAAAAAAAAUAAUAUUUGUCCCUUAUCUAUGAAGUGCUUUUAUUUUUUAAAUUUUUUUUAUUACCUGAAGAACUACAUUAUCGUCAAUAUGAAGUGCUGUUUUUUUAAGCAUUAUGAUUAGACUUAAGGAUUCUAAGGACUAAAGUAUUAAGGUGUUUUUUGUUGUUAUUUGCUAAUCAUUAAUCAACUGUUUUACCUGAUUAAUUUUCUCUUUGGGAAAAUAGAUUGAGAUUGUGAUCUGGGAGACCAAAGUAGACAUUACUUUAUCAAUGAAGAAGGACCUUAAGGUUAACGAAACAAAAAGUUGGCCAGGUGAGGUGGCUCACGCCUGUAAUCCCAGCACUUUGGGAGGCAGAGGUGGGUGGAUCACGAGGUCAGGAGUUCAACACAAUCCUGGCCAACAUGGUGAAACCCCGUCUCUACUAAAAAUACAAAAUUAGCUGGGUACGGAGGCACACACCUGCAGUCCCAGCUACUCAGGAGGCUGAGGCAGGAGAAUUGCUUGUACCUAGGAGGCGGAGGUUGCAGUGAGCUGAGAUCAUGCCAGUGCACUCCAGCCUGUGUGAUGGAGCAAGACUCCGUCUCAAAAAAAAA
rnacentral:lncRNA from 1 species